rnacentral:rRNA from 1 species
GCUUACGGCCAUACCAACUCUGAGCACGCCCGAUCUCGUCCGAUCUCGGAAGCCAAGCAGGGUCGGGCCUGGUUAGUACUUGGACGGGAGACCGCCUGGAUACCGGUGCUGUAAGCU